ACGUACACUCCUACGGGAGGCAGCAGUGGGGAAUAUUGGACAAUGGGCGCAAGCCUGAUCCAGCCAUGCCGCGUGAGUGAUGAAGGCCCUAGGGUUGUAAAGCUCUUUUGUGCGGGAAGAUAAUGACGGUACCGCAAGAAUAAGCCCCGGCUAACUUCGUGCCAGCAGCCGCGGUAAUACGAAGGGGGCUAGCGUUGCUCGGAAUCACUGGGCGUAAAGGGUGCGUAGGCGGGUCUUUAAGUCAGGGGUGAAAUCCUGGAGCUCAACUCCAGAACUGCCUUUGAUACUGAAGAUCUUGAGUUCGGGAGAGGUGAGUGGAACUGCGAGUGUAGAGGUGAAAUUCGUAGAUAUUCGCAAGAACACCAGUGGCGAAGGCGGCUCACUGGCCCGAUACUGACGCUGAGGCACGAAAGCGUGGGGAGCAAACAGGAUUAGAUACCCGUGUAGUCCCAUGAU
rnacentral:rRNA from 1 species